CAUGCAAGUCGAGGGGAAACGAUAUUGGAAGCUUGCUUCCGAUAGGCGUCGACCGGCGCACGGGUGAGUAACGCGUAUCCAACCUGCCCACCACUUGGGGAUAACCUUGCGAAAGUAAGACUAAUACCCAAUGAUAUCUCUAGAAGACAUCUGAAAGAGAUUAAAGAUUUAUCGGUGAUGGAUGGGGAUGUGUCUGAUUAGCUUGUUGGCGGGGUAACGGCCCACCAAGGCGACGAUCAGUAGGGGUUCUGAGAGGAAGGUCCCCCACAUUGGAACUGAGACACGGUCCAAACUCCUACGGGAGGCAGCAGUGAGGAAUAUUGGUCAAUGGGCGAGAGCCUGAACCAGCCAAGUAGCGUGCAGGAUGACGGCCCUAUGGGUUGUAAACUGCUUUUAUAAGGGAAUAAAGUGAGCCUCGUGAGGCUUUUUGCAUGUACCUUAUGAAUAAGGACCGGCUAAUUCCGUGCCAGCAGCCGCGGUAAUACGGAAGGUCCGGGCGUUAUCCGGAUUUAUUGGGUUUAAAGGGAGCGUAGGCCGGAGAUUAAGCGUGUUGUGAAAUGUAGAUGCUCAACAUCUGCACUGCAGCGCGAACUGGUCUCCUUGAGUACGCACAAAGUGGGCGGAAUCCGUGGUGUAGCGGUGAAAUGCUUAGAUAUCACGAAGAACUCCGAUUGCGAAGGCAGCUCACUGGAGCGCAACUGACGCUGAAGCUCGAAAGUGCGGGUAUCGAACAGGAUUAGAUACCCUGGUAGUCCGCACGGUAAACGAUGGAUGCCCGCUGUUGGUCUGAAUAGGUCAGCGGCCAAGCGAAAGCAUUAAGCAUCCCACCUGGGGAGUACGCCGGCAACGGUGAAACUCAAAGGAAUUGACGGGGGCCCGCACAAGCGGAGGAACAUGUGGUUUAAUUC
rnacentral:rRNA from 1 species